rnacentral:rRNA from 3 species
CCCCAGGUCAGGCGGGGCUACCCGCUGAGUUAA